AAGCCCGAUCCAGCCAUGCCGCGUGUGUGAAGAAGGUCUUCGGAUUGUAAAGCACUUUAAGUUGGGAGGAAGGGCACUAAGUUAAUACCUUGCUGUAUUGACGUUACCAACAGAAUAAGCACCGGCUAACUCCGUGCCAGCAGCCGCGGUAAUACGGAGGGUGCAAGCGUUACUCGGAAUCACUGGGCGUAAAGAGCACGUAGGCGGCCUUGCAAGUCAGAUGUGAAAUCCAACGGCUUAACCGUUGAACUGCAUUUGAAACUGCAAGGCUAGAGUAUGGGAGAGGUAGGUGGAAUUCUCGGUGUAGGGGUAAAAUCCGUAGAGAUCGAGAGGAAUACUCAUUGCGAAGGCGACCUGCUGGAACAUUACUGACGCUGAGGUGCGAAAGCGUGGGGAGCAAACA
rnacentral:rRNA from 1 species